AGUGGAAUUGCUGGAUCACAUGGUAACUAUGUUUAAUAUUUUGAGGAACUGCCAAACUAUUUUCCAAAGUCGGUGCAUCAUUUUACAUCUCCACCAGCAAU
rnacentral:pre_miRNA from 1 species